AACGAACGCUGGCGGCAUGCCUAACACAUGCAAGUCGAACGAGAUCUUCGGGUCUAGUGGCGCACGGGUGCGUAACGCGUGGGAAUCUGCCCUUUGGUUCGGAAUAACAGUUGGAAACGACUGCUAAUACCGGAUGAUGACGAAAGUCCAAAGAUUUAUCGCCAGAGGAUGAGCCCGCGUAGGAUUAGCUAGUUGGUGUGGUAAAGGCGCACCAAGGCGACGAUCCUUAGCUGGUGUGAGAGGAUGAUCAGCCACACUGGGACUGAGACACGGCCCAGACUCCUACGGGAGGCAGCAGUGGGGAAUGUUGGACAAUGGGCGAAAGCCUGAUCCAGCAAUGCCGCGUGAGUGAUGAAGGCCUUAGGGUUGUAAAGCUCUUUUACCCGGGAUGAUAAUGACAGUACCGGGAGAAUAAGCUCCGGCUAACUCCGUGCCAGCAGCCGCGGUAA
rnacentral:rRNA from 1 species